CCCAGUCCACGCCAUUUCCCGCCUGCGUGGUGGAGUCAGUUCCUUGGUUUCCUAGAAGCGAGUUUGUUCGGUCAAAGGGCAUGCGCAUUUGUGGUUUGGGGAGAUGCAGCCCAAAUCAUUACCAGUGAAAAUCUUGCCAGCGAAGGAGAGCCUGGCAGUGAAAUGCUUACUAUCCAGGGACCCCCCUGGCGGUGAACUGGAGCUUCUAAACUUUCUGAUGUGAAGCUUUGUCCUGAAGGGUCUGAGCCCUCUCGCGGCCCAAAGAAGGAAAUGAAACCUACCCUCUCCAGCCUGCCUCCUUCUACCACUGGUGACUCAUCAGAGCCCUACCCUGUGCCAGGUCUGGGUCGUGAAGGACAAAGUCCAGACUGUACAUGACCUGGCCUCUGACGACAGCUUGAGGUCACUUCCUCUCCUGCUUUACACAUCAGCCAGCAGAAACCCUUGCAGUCCUUCGAAUCAAACCGUGUUUGCUCACGUUCGCGCUGGGACACCUCUUCCUCGUGACCCUGGCGGUGGUCACUCACACUUCGGUUCACCGGCCGAGCCAGCCCAGCUCUCCCUCCCCUCCCGAAAGCCUUCUUGGUUCCCCAUGCCGGGCAGUCCCUCCUCUGGUGUCCCUGAGCCCUCCCUAGGCUUCCCCGGCCCGGCCCCGCCCGGCCCACUCUGGGUUGUCACUACUUGGGGAGGGUUCUGUUUCCCCCACUGGACGGUGAGCCCCGGGAGGGCAGGGCUGCGGCUGCCGUGCUCAGCCCUGGGUCCCCAGUAUCGCCCAGCAGAGAGCUCUACACAGACGGGGGGCCGGAGGGAGGCAUGCUGAAUGAAUGAAUACAGGAGUGCACGAAUGAA